rnacentral:snRNA from 1 species
AGCUUUGCGCAGUGGCAGUAUAGUAGCCAAUGAGGUUUAUCUGAGGCGUGAUUAUUGCUAAUUGAAAACUUUUCCCAGUACCCCGCCAUGACAACUUGAAAAGCACAGGAUUUACUUUAAGUCCCAUUUGUUUUCAGAGUUCCGAUUAUAGCAAGAAAUAGAUCACAACGUGGGGGA